UACGUAGGGGGCUAGCGUUGUCCGGAUUUAUUGGGCGUAAAGAGCGUGUAGGCGGCCAUGUAGGUCCGGUGUGAAAACUCGAGGCUCAGCCUCGAGCUGUCGGUGGAAACUGUCUGGCUAGAGUCCGGAAGAGGAGAGUGGAAUUCCUGGUGUAGCGGUGAAAUGCGCAGAUAUCAGGAAGAACACCUAUGGCGAAGGCAGCUCUCUGGGACGGUACUGACGCUGAGACGCGAAAGCGUGGGGAGCGAACAGG
rnacentral:rRNA from 1 species